rnacentral:lncRNA from 1 species
ACACACAUUGCAGUCGAGGGUGUGAGGACACUGUGGUCCCACAUAUAAAAGAAUAAAGUGGUUAGUAUGUUAGAAUAAGUGAAGUGAUACAAUUUUAAAGACUGGCAAGCUAUGGCAUGUUAUGUUUAUGAUGUAUAAUUAAUUCAAUUCUUGUCUCUAAUCACCUUUCACCUCCCCUUAUCCACACACACACACACAAACAAGGAAAAAGAUACCCCGAAGAGGAGCAAAAGUACCCAAUGGGCAUUUCAAAAUAGGUGUAGUGGUUCAGAAGGAAACAUGUCAAUAUUUCCCUCUACUCAAUUUCUCCUUGAACGUCUGAAAUACACUGUGGUGAUAAAUGCAUAAAUAGAAGGCAUAUUCUCCACUCUGAAAAUCUGUUUCUCACUCUCUAUCUCUCAAAGCAUGUUUGGUUUCUUGUUUCCGUUUUUGUUUUUUGCAAGAUAACUCUCCACUAGGGGCUGGGUAGUAAGACCUUUUACACACCUUCAAACAGGAAAUAUCCAGCACACACACACACAUACACACACACACAAUAAUUGCUAUUUCAGGCUUUUGAAAAACAGAGUUAAAGUAUGAAUUGGGUUAAUUUGGGCUUUUCAACUUAAUACUUAAAAAUUAUGUUUUAUGUAAAAUCAUUUGUUAUAACCCAAUAAAUAGCCUUUCUCUAACAUCAGUAAAGUUAAGCUUCAAUCUCCCAAUAGCACAUGUCUCUGCAUUUUAGCCCUACCAUUGUGUCACUGCUCGGAUCUUACACAGUUCAAAACAUAUGUACAACUAACUACACUAGUGUCAUGUACACAAACACAGUGGUUGAUUAACACGAGUGUUAAGGUUUAUCGCCAGGUGAGCUGCACAAGCUUUUGAUCCUACGCAAAUGGCUGGUGCCAACCUCAUCCCAUGUUUUCUCUGUGGCCCCCCGGAGGGCUGCUCACAACCUUACCACCUUCCUCUAGGAUUCUCCCCUAGUUCUUCAUCUUGCCUUUCUACAUUUAACCAUAAUCGACUCUUCUCCUCCCACUUUCUAACUACCUUUCUUCACUUCUGUUGUCUUGCCUUCAUGCACGUCCCUUCUCUGGAUCAAUAUCUGUAGGCUAUACGUAGAAUAUAUAUUAUUUUCUCUAAAACUUCCUUGCUGCCCACUGAAUAUUUAUCAAAUCUUGCCUUGUGCUACCAACAUUGCCUCAGAAAUUAUCCAAAUAAUCACCUCUCACCCUGGAGGAGGCACGAACUCCUGUCAUUUCCUAUUUUCUGGUGACACAAUGAUCGUUUCCACAGUGCUUCCCAAGGCUCUUAGGUUUUUGGAGCAUGGGGUAUAGAAGACUGUCUUCUCUUUCUGUUUGUCCCUGGUGAUCAUUUGACCAUAACCAUGUUGUUCUCCAAAACGUCUUAGUUCAUAGAUCAAACUGUAUUAGAUUAAACGAGAUAUGAUUUCUGCUCCAAAGUGCCCCUAGAGCGCCUUGCCCUUUUCAAACCACACACUUCUUAGGGUCAGGUGAAUUAAGUUAAAUAUGAUUCCCUUCAAUGUUAAAGUGAUAGGAAUGAGUCUCUGCACUUCAGUGCUUUAAUUUUGUAACCAGGAGAGGUGAUGGCUGCAUUCAGAAAGAAGAGAAAGCUUGUGUCUGUUCUCUCUGCUGACCACUGGCAUGCCUUGUGAAGGACCAAGUCCUGCUUGCGGUAUGGUCAGCCUUAGAACUGACUGUGAGCCACAGGGAACAAGGGCUUACACUGUCUUCUGGGGACAUUGGCAUCAGCCCAGAGGCAUUCUCAGGCUUUGACUUCAAAGCAACAGCGAAACCAAAAUGGAUAAAGAUAGGGUCAGUCAAAUGCAACGUCUUUUCCUGACAGCAAAACAAACAGAGCCAGUGUCAACUCAUCAAAUCCUGCCACGUAAAUUGGUACUCUCCUGCAGGCUAACAGAAACAGUUACAGAAAGUGGAAAAGUUGACUUCACUAAAAAUUACUGCAGUUACAAAUAAAGGAAGGGGGUAUAGUGUAUUUCUAAAAUGUGCAUCUGGACUAAGAUUUAGGGAGGGUUGAGUGUGAGCACAACUUAAUUCACCCCCGAAAGAGAAGGCUUGUCGGCCAGAAAUAACAAAAUAAGAAAAGCCCAGCAAGUUGGCCCCCAGGUCCAAGUACUGCAGAUUCCAGUGUAUCUUUCCAUCUCUUCUUCCAACAACACAAUGACUGUGAAACAUAAGGAGGGAAGAGGAAAGAGUCUUCCUUUAUGUGACAAACCCCCUUUUCAGAUGUUCAGUGGGACAGUCUGAGUAGCAGCGUCUUCUUUCAAGAGCAUAAUAUAGCGGAGCAUGUGAUUGCAUUUCCAACCUAUAAAUAUCCAGCUCCUGAACACUCAUCUUUGAGUUCUAAAUGGAAUAAGCCAUUAUUUCCAUAUUCAAAACUGUAACAGACUGGAAUGUUGUUCAGCAAAUACUACUCUCCACCCCAUGCCCCCUGCAGGGAAGCAUCUUAACCUGUCCCCUGACACCUACUGCCACCCUGACUUUGAGACUGGUCAUGUGACUUACUUGGACUAAUGGGAUGUGCAUGGACAUGA